rnacentral:rRNA from 1 species
GUGUGAUGGAUAUCUGCAGAAUUCGGCUUACGGCUCAGUAACACGUGGAUAACCUGCCCUUGGGUCCGGCAUAACUCCGGGAAACUGGAGAUAAUUCCGGAUAACGCACAUAUGCUGGAAUGCUUUAUGCGUAAAAUGGAUUCGUCUGCCCAAGGAUGGGUCUGCGGCCUAUCAGGUAGUAGUGGGUGUAAUGUACCUACUAGCCUACGACGGGUACGGGUUGUGAGAGCAAGAGCCCGGAGAUGGAUUCUGAGACAUGAAUCCAGGCCCUACGGGGCGCAGCAGGCGCGAAAACUUUACAAUGCGGGAAACCGUGAUAAGGGGACACCGAGUGCCAGCAUCAUAUGCUGGCUGUCCAGGUGUGUAAAAUACACCUGUUAGCAAGGGCCGGGCAAGACCGGUGCCAGCCGCCGCGGUAACACCGGCGGCCCGAGUGGUGAUCGUGAUUAUUGGGUCUAAAGGGUCCGUAGCCGGUUUGGUCAGUCCUCCGGGAAAUCUGAUAGCUCAACUAUUAGGCUUUCGGGGGAUACUGCCAGACUUGGAACCGGGAGAGGUAAGAGGUACUACAGGGGUAGGAGUGAAAUCUUGUAAUCCCUGUGGGACCACCUGUGGCGAAGGCGUCUUACCAGAACGGGUUCGACGGUGAGGGACGAAAGCUGGGGGCACGAACCGGAUUAGAUACCCGGGUAGUCCCAGCCGUAAACGAUGCUCGCUAGGUGUCAGACAUGGCGCGACCGUGUCUGGUGCCGCAGGGAAGCCGUGAAGCGAGCCACAAUGGGAAGUACGGCCGAAAGGCUG